CAUACAGCUAUCAGGCUCGGUGUCCUUCUAAAGUAAAACUUAGUCGAGAUCGAAUAUCAACUGAUACGCUAUUCAUCAACAAAACCUCUCCUUGCUUUACUCAUUCUGCAAUGAGAUGGGUUUUUUUGUUGUGGUUGAUUUUGAAUGGGUAUGGGUUUUUUUUGUUGUGGUUGGUUUUGAAUGGAUAUGGGUUUUGAUGUUUUAAGGGGUAUUUUCUCUUUUUCUCUUAAGUUACAGCCCUGCCAAACAGCUCUAGAUAUUUUCGCUCUCUUUUCCAAAAUCUACGAGUUGGAUAGAGAGAGAGAGAGAGAGAGAGAGAGAGAGAGAGAGAGUGUGUUUCUUUCGUUCGCACGAGGAGAGAGAGUGAGAGACGGGGAACGUAUUCUGUAUCUGCUUAGAAGACGAAGGAAUUGGGAGAGAGAGUUCAGAGUUUGCAGGAAAGAUGAUCAAAGAGUUAUAGAAGUUCUUUGAAUUAAGGCGACUCAAUUGCAAUGGGCAUUGGAUAGAGGAGUUUGUGUGUUUAGUAAAGCAUUGGAAUUUCUAUCUGGUUAUGUACCAGUUUGGGUUAUUUGGUGCACUUAUCUGUGUAGGGAUGGAGCUAUCCCCGUUCUCACUUUGGCAAUUGAAGGAAACCUCCUUAAAGGUAUACAAUGCCAAUUAUAUAUCGAAGUAUACAUUUCGUAGAUUCAUGCGUAAGGUAAUUGGGUAUAACUUGGUUUACAUUGUUCUUUUAGGUUUGAGAGGGUAAAAGAUACAGAAAUCUAUUGUUGUUGGGAUCAUAAUCGUUCAUUAUGUGUUCCUGCCUCUUACGGGCAUAUUGAUCGUUAAAGGGGUGCUUAAAUUUUGCUUAGUGUACUCUGAUCCAUUAUAUCUAUUUAUUCUCCUGAUUCUGCACUCCCACCUGCAAUGAACAUAUGUAACUAUUUUUUGCCUAUAGUUAUAAGUUCAGUAUUUUAUUUUUUUUACUUGCUGAGUGUUUUUCUUUUAUUUGUCUGUGAGGAUCAAAAGGAUCUCUUGCCGCUGCAUCUCACUGGGAAAAUGCAUCAAUAGGUAUGGAUUUCAAUUGCUAUUGUUUUUGGUGUUGAAGAAGAGAAGUUGGUUUGUAUCAAUUGUGGCGGACAUUGUGAUUCUGGACACCACAAGUAUAACAAGGGUUUGAUCUUGGAAUUUCAAGAUGCUGGUCAGUUUUGUUCAUAGAAUGAAUGGACCAACACUUUGUGGAGCUCAGUUCGUAGAAGAUGUGCAGACCUUUCUCACACAGAUUGUAGCUCUGCCCUCUAUUUUCUCCAAGAAAGAGUACUUGAAUCCUAAAACAAUUAUGUCUAGGGUUGGACUUUGUUUGCAGACUUGCGUUUAAAGAAUGAAUUUUUCUUGAAUCAAGGAUGGGAUGCUUCAAAAUUUAAUCCAGCAUUACCUGUUGUUCCAUUGUGUUAAAUACUUCAAAUGCAGCGUGCAUUGGGUGAGGUUUUUGGAGUAGACCAAUCUGUUGCAUUGAAACUACUGGGAUCUGAAAGAUCAUUCGAACCUCUUGAAGUUAUGGCUUUGAAGACCAGGGCGACGAGGAAAACAAGGUUCUUAGAAAGUGAUUGUAGUGCCACUAAUUUGUAUUGUGCAGAAAGUCAUGAUAAAAGCUUAUCAAGUCAGGGGACUGUGACAUGAGCAAUGAUCAGACUUUCGUUGCUGCUAUAGCUGAAAGUUCUUUUUCUUAUAGAGACACAUCAUCAAAUCAUUGCUAGAACAGUGAUGCAGCCAACAACCAAAAAGAAACGAAUGGUGGAAGAACCAGAAGAUUUGUACAGUUUUGAAUAUGAAAAUGUAAACGGAUUGGCAGUGCUUUGUAAACUCAAAACAAUUUUAUAGGCAGGAGUAAUCAACAAAAUGCCAAUAUCACUGCAUUAUAUAUGACUGAUCCUCAUUGCUUUGUAAACUCAAACAAUUUAUAGGCAGGAAACUCUCUUAUUUCAUCACAAUCAAGUCCUUUUAAUUCA